GCCACUGCUAUUGGGGUUCGGCUAAGCCAUGCGAGUGGAGGGCGCGGUCGAAAGAUCGUGGCCCCCGCACACGGCUCAGUAACACGUAGUCAACCUAACCUAGGGGCGGGUAUAACCUCGGGAAACUGAGGCUAAUCCCCCGAUAGACGGGAAACGCUGGAAUGCCUUCCCGUCCAAAGCUCAGGCGCCCUAGGAUGGGACUGCGGCCCAUCAGGCCUGUUGGUGGUGUGACG
rnacentral:rRNA from 1 species